GAUGAACGCUGGCGGCGUGCCUAAUACAUGCAAGUCGAGCGAACGGACGAGAAGCUUGCUUCUCUGAUGUUAGCGGCGGACGGGUGAGUAACACGUGGAUAACCUACCUAUAAGACUGGGAUAACUUCGGGAAACCGGAGCUAAUACCGGAUGAUAUUUUGAACCGCAUGGUUCAAAAGUGAAAGACGGUCUUGCUGUCACUUAUAGAUGGAUCCGCGCUGCAUUAGCUAGUUGGUAAGGUAACGGCUUACCAAGGCAACGAUGCAUAGCCGACCUGAGAGGGUGAUCGGUCACACUGGAACUGAGACACGGUCAAGACUCCUAAGGGAGGCAGCAGUAGGGAAUCUUCCGCAAUGGGCGAAAGCCUGACGGAGCAACGCCGCGUGAGUGAUGAAGGUCUUCGGAUCGUAAAACUCUGUUAUUAGGGAAGAACAUAUGUGUAAGUAACUGUGCACAUCUUGACGGUACCCAAUCAGAAAGCCACGGCUAACUACGUG
rnacentral:rRNA from 1 species